GGGUUGUGAGGUUAAGCGACUAAGCGUACACGGUGGAUGCCCUGGCAGUCAGAGGCGAUGAAGGGCGUGCUAAUCUGCGAUAAGCGCCGGUAAGGUGAUAUGAACCGUUAUAACCGGCGAUACCCGAAUGGGGAAACCCAGUGUGAUUCGUCACACUAUCAUUAACUGAAUCCAUAGGUUAAUGAGGCGAACCGGGGGAACUGAAACAUCUAAGUACCCCGAGGAAAAGAAAUCAACCGAGAUUCCCCCAGUAGCGGCGAGCGAACGGGGAGGAGCCCAGAGCCUGAAUCAGCAUGUGUGUUAGUGGAAGCGUCUGGAAAGGCGCGCGAUACAGGGUGACAGCCCCGUACACAAAAGCGCAUGUGCUGUGAGCUCGAUGAGUAGGGCGGGACACGUGGUAUCCUGUCUGAAUAUGGGGGGACCAUCCUCCAAGGCUAAAUACUCCUGACUGACCGAUAGUGAACCAGUACCGUGAGGGAAAGGCGAAAAGAACCCCGGCGAGGGGAGUGAAAAAGAACCUGAAACCGUGUACGUACAAGCAGUGGGAGCACCCUUUGGGUGUGACUGCGUACCUUUUGUAUAAUGGGUCAGCGACUUAUAUUCUGUAGCAAGGUUAACCGAAUAGGGGAGCCGGAGGGAAACCGAGUCUUAACCGGGCGUUAAGUUGCAGGGUAUAGACCCGAAACCCGGUGAUCUAGCCAUGGGCAGGUUGAAGGUUGGGUAACACUAACUGGAGGACCGAACCGACUAAUGUUGAAAAAUUAGCGGAUGACCUGUGGCUGGGGGUGAAAGGCCAAUCAAACCGGGAGAUAGCUGGUUCUCCCCGAAAGCUAUUUAGGUAGCGCCUCGUGAAUUCAUCUCCGGGGGUAGAGCACUGUUUCGGCUAGGGGGCCAUCCCGGCUUACCAACCCGAUGCAAACUGCGAAUACCGGAGAAUGUUAUCACGGGAGACACACGGCGGGUGCUAACGUCCGUCGUGAAGAGGGAAACAACCCAGACCGCCAGCUAAGGUCCCAAAGUCAUGGUUAAGUGGGAAACGAUGUGGGAAGGCCCAGACAGCCAGGAUGUUGGCUUAGAAGCAGCCAUCAUUUAAAGAAAGCGUAAUAGCUCACUGGUCGAGUCGGCCUGCGCGGAAGAUGUAACGGGGCUAAACCAUGCACCGAAGCUGCGGCAGCGACGCUGAUGCGUUGUUGGGUAGGGGAGCGUUCUGUAAGCCUGCGAAGGUGGCCUGUGAGGGUUGCUGGAGGUAUCAGAAGUGCGAAUGCUGACAUAAGUAACGAUAAAGCGGGUGAAAAGCCCGCUCGCCGGAAGACCAAGGGUUCCUGUCCAACGUUAAUCGGGGCAGGGUGAGUCGACCCCUAAGGCGAGGCCGAAAGGCGUAGUCGAUGGGAAACGGGUUAAUAUUCCCGUACUUGGUGUUACUGCGAAGGGGGGACGGAGAAGGCUAUGUUGGCCGGGCGACGGUUGUCCCGGUUUAAGCGUGUAGGUGUGUGUUCCAGGUAAAUCCGGUUCACUUUAACACUGAGGCGUGACGACGAGGCACUACGGUGCUGAAGCAACAAAUGCCCUGCUUCCAGGAAAAGCCUCUAAGCAUCAGGUAACAUCAAAUCGUACCCCAAACCGACACAGGUGGUCAGGUAGAGAAUACCAAGGCGCUUGAGAGAACUCGGGUGAAGGAACUAGGCAAAAUGGUGCCGUAACUUCGGGAGAAGGCACGCUGACACGUAGGUGAAGUGAUUUACUCAUGGAGCUGAAGUCAGUCGAAGAUACCAGCUGGCUGCAACUGUUUAUUAAAAACACAGCACUGUGCAAACACGAAAGUGGACGUAUACGGUGUGACGCCUGCCCGGUGCCGGAAGGUUAAUUGAUGGGGUCAGCGCAAGCGAAGCUCCUGAUCGAAGCCCCGGUAAACGGCGGCCGUAACUAUAACGGUCCUAAGGUAGCGAAAUUCCUUGUCGGGUAAGUUCCGACCUGCACGAAUGGCGUAAUGAUGGCCAGGCUGUCUCCACCCGAGACUCAGUGAAAUUGAACUCGCUGUGAAGAUGCAGUGUACCCGCGGCAAGACGGAAAGACCCCGUGAACCUUUACUAUAGCUUGACACUGAACAUUGAGCCUUGAUGUGUAGGAUAGGUGGGAGGCUUUGAAGUGUGGACGCCAGUCUGCAUGGAGCCGACCUUGAAAUACCACCCUUUAAUGUUUGAUGUUCUAACGUGGACCCGUUACCCGGGUUGCGGACAGUGUCUGGUGGGUAGUUUGACUGGGGCGGUCUCCUCCUAAAGAGUAACGGAGGAGCACGAAGGUUGGCUAAUCCUGGUCGGACAUCAGGAGGUUAGUGCAAUGGCAUAAGCCAGCUUGACUGCGAGCGUGACGGCGCGAGCAGGUGCGAAAGCAGGUCAUAGUGAUCCGGUGGUUCUGAAUGGAAGGGCCAUCGCUCAACGGAUAAAAGGUACUCCGGGGAUAACAGGCUGAUACCGCCCAAGAGUUCAUAUCGACGGCGGUGUUUGGCACCUCGAUGUCGGCUCAUCACAUCCUGGGGCUGAAGUAGGUCCCAAGGGUAUGGCUGUUCGCCAUUUAAAGUGGUACGCGAGCUGGGUUUAGAACGUCGUGAGACAGUUCGGUCCCUAUCUGCCGUGGGCGCUGGAGAACUGAGGGGGGCUGCUCCUAGUACGAGAGGACCGGAGUGGACGCAUCACUGGUGUUCGGGUUGUCAUGCCAAUGGCACUGCCCGGUAGCUAAAUGCGGAAGAGAUAAGUGCUGAAAGCAUCUAAGCACGAAACUUGCCCCGAGAUGAGUUCUCCCUGAGACUUAGAGUCUCCUGAAGGAACGUUGAAGACGACGACGUUGAUAGGCCGGGUGUGUAAGCGCAGCGAUGCGUUGAGCUAACCGGUACUAAUGAACCGUGAGGCUUAACCUUACAACGCCGAAG
rnacentral:rRNA from 1 species